GACGAACGCUGGCGGCGUGCCUAAUGCAUGCAAGUCGCACGCACGGAGCUUGCUCCGUGAGUGGCGCACGGCUGAGUAUCACGUGGGAACGUGCCCUAGGGUGGGGGAUAACGCCGCGAAAGCGACGCUAAUCCCGCAUACGCUCACUUUGGUGAGGAAAGCAGUGAUGCGCCCCAGGAGCGGCCCGCGGCCCAUCAGGUCGUUGGGGGGUAAGUGGCCUCCAAGCCGAUGACGGGUAGCUGGUCUGUGAGGAC
rnacentral:rRNA from 1 species